rnacentral:rRNA from 1 species
UGGCGGACGGGUGAGUAACGUCUGGGAAACCGCCUGAUGGAGGGGGAUAACUACUGGAAACGGUAGCUAAUACCGCAUAACGUCGCAAGACCAAAGAGGGGGACCUUCGGGCCUCUUGCCAUCGGAUGUGCCCAGAUGGGAUUAGCUAGUAGGUGGGGUAACGGCUCACCUAGGCGACGAUCCCUAGCUGGUCUGAGAGGAUGGCCAGCCACACUGGAACUGAGACACGGUCCAG